UUAUUGUAAAAAUAUUGGAAAUGCUCCGAAAAGCCGUCCCCGAUAAAAUUAUUGAAGUGCACAUGCUGGAAAUGACAUUUACAAGUACGAAUUGGUCCUUUCUGUGGGGCUUCAACGAGGACGGGGACGAUAUAUACUACAGGGCUAAGCUGGUUCCUGCUCCGAAUCAUUCAUCGAGUCUCUGGAGGAAGUGAGACUACUUGAUGAUGAUAAUCUGGAAUUGCUUGGAUUGGAGUGUCCUAUUUGUAUGCAGGUGUUUGCAGAGAAAAAAGAUACCAGCAUUACUCGGUUGCCAUGCUCACACUAUUAUCAUCGACAUUGCAUUGUCCAGUGGCUCCAGAUCAAUCAUGUCUGUCCCACUUGUCGACACCCUAAUGCUCCGAGUUAAGUUGAGUUGAUGCCCCAGGCCAUCAAGGGAAGGAAUCUAGCUACUACCUUGAUAUUGAAUUUAUUUCUAUGUUUUUGCUGCCUUGAUCAUCCAUCUUUUGUAUAAUGAAAAAUCCAAUGUUAGAACAAAUUUCAAACUGUUGCUCAGUUUCUACAUAUUACAUUACAUGUAUGCUGUUUAAUCUCCCCAUAUACAGUUAAUUCUUAUGUUUGCUACUGGGAUGUAUUUGAAACUGCUUGUCACCAUAGCUAUGGCGCCAUUUUUUUGAGUUUUUUAAAUUCGAAAGCCCACCCUUUUAUUUUAUGGUGUUUCUGGCAUUGUCGUCGUAGUUUGGAUUCAGCAUGCUAAAUGAUGGUUCAUAGUCUUGUUAGGAGUGCUAGGAAUUUGACUAGGAUUGCAACGCAGCUUGGCUUACACCUUGAGUGAUUUAGGUAUAGCAUUUUAGCAAGUCAUAUCUCUAGCAUGGGCUGCAUGGCUGUGGGCUCUAUGCAUCUCUGCAUUCGCUUGAUAGCUAUACAUUGCUUUGGCAUGUUUGUAAAUUCUUUUGUAUCUAGCACCAAGCUAAUAUUUUAUAGGGCGUUCACCUUUUGUGGUCAUAGCUUAGAGGCUUGCCUGGGUAAUUUCACUUGGGACAUCUCUCUGUACAUUAUUGCUGUGAUUUUUCUUGUAGCUUGAUUUUGGCAUAGCUUAAGAUAUACAAGCUUGUGAUCUCUAUAAGAUUGAUUUUCUUGCUUGGCUUGUAUGAAUAUUUUGGGCACAAGCUUGUGGGUUUAUAGAACUCAUUUUAGUUUUGUAUUUAACGAUUCUUCUCUCUUGUAGCCUUUCUUAUUGCUUCUAAGAGAGUGGUAUCUCCAUAUGACUAAGAACGAAUCUUCUGUUUCGCACAAUGAAUCGACAUCCCUGGAACAUCCAGACAGGUUAGGACCAAAAUGUGUUGGAAUGGACUGGGUAGCAAUGGUUAGGGUAAAUUGGAAGGGAUCCAACAACCUAGAUGUGAGCUAAUUAUUAAGAGAUGGCCGGUGAAGCAAUUUGUGGCCACGAUGACAGAUGUGUAUGUGUUCUGUCCAUAUAAAUAAAGAAAAAUGCAGAUUUUGCUUA